GACGAACGCUGGCGGCGUGCUUAACACAUGCAAGUCGAACGGAAAGGCCCUGCUUGCCGGGUACUCGAGUGGCGAACGGGUGAGUAACACGUGGGUGAUCUGCCCUGCACUUCGGGAUAAGCCUGGGAAACUGGGUCUAAUACCGGAUAGGAGCCAUUUUUAGUGUGAUGGUUGGAAAGUUUUUUCGGUGUAGGAUGAGCUCGCGGCCUAUCAGCUUGUUGGUGGGGUAAUGGCCUACCAAGGCGGCGACGGGUAGCCGGCCUGAGAGGGUGGACGGCCACAUUGGGACUGAGAUACGGCCCAGACUCCUACGGGAGGCAGCAGUGGGGAAUAUUGCACAAUGGGCGCAAGCCUUAUGCAGCGACGCCGCGUGGGGGAUGACGGCCUUCGGGUUGUAAACUCCUUUCGCUAGGGACGAAGCUUUUGUGACGGUACCUAGAUAAGAAGCACCGGCUAACUACGUG
rnacentral:rRNA from 1 species